UGUUGGACAUGGUGCCCCCUAGAGUCUUGUGUUUUACUUGUCUUAUGACACACACACACACUGGAGUUUAUAACCAGACAGGAAUCUAUUUCCAUUUACUAUCCAUGAAUGACGCUGCUAAUCUGGGAGGGGUCCUCUCACAGUAGCGCAGUCCUCGGGGGCCGGCCAUCAGAAGGACUUCUGCUGCUGUAGAACUAGGCGGAGGAUGGAGGAAGAUUAGACAAUGGCCUGUUUUACUGAUUACAAGCCACAGAUCAGUGAUUGGCUGAUAUCUCAAGGACAUCCUCAUACUACAGGUCAUGUGUCCCAGGUCAUUAUCCUACAUGGGGGAGGGGCUGGUGACUGGUCUGUACCCUGGAUGGACACUUCUUAUACUAUAGGUCAUGUGAACCAUUAUGCAUGUGUCUCACCUGACCGGCCGCCCACUGAAUUGCUGUCUUCUACGUCACCGAAGAAAUCUGGCAGAGGGAUGUUGUGGAUCUCGGGGAGGAGAGCCGCUAUCAGUCCAUAGAUUACCGCCACGAGGCAGAUUAUCACUUGUGACAGAGGUGCCCAGAUGUCAUCCAGUAAUUUCAGCAGUGUAGCAAGUGUUACCCCAAUUCUAGCCAAAACUGCUGUGUAGCCAUUGCCGCUCUGUCUGAGAGGAACAAAGAGGAGAGAGACUCAGGGAACAGAGAUGGACACCACCACCAGUAGCCUCAACUUACACAAGACCAUUGCUUGAUGGAGCAGAAAGUAACCCUGUAAUAUGCAGCAGUCUCCUAAAUCCCUCUACCAUAGAUCAGGGACACAGAAUCCUCUGUAACAUCCAUACAGCAAAUGUUCCUUUCUGAGGUGAAGACCAGAGACAUAGACCCAUCAACUUUGCUCAGAUAUUGUAUAUAGAUGAGGAGAAAACUGUGAACCCAGACACCUCAUAUGAUUGAAGAGUCCACCAUGACUAUAGAUUAAAAAAAAAAACUACCAUGACCUCAGGCAUCUCAUAUAGCUGAGUCCAUCAUGACCCCAGGCACCUCAUAUAGCUGAGUCCAUCAUGACCCCAGGCACCUCAUAUAGAUGAGUCCAUCAUGACCCCAGGCACCUCAUAUAGAUGAGUCCAUCAUGACCCCAGGCACCUCAUAUAGAUGAGUCCAUCAUGACCCCAGGCACCUCAUAUAGAU